CAGUAUGAAUGUUAGGUAUAAUUAUAAUUUUUAAAAGAAAAAAAAAUAAAAGCAUCAUUUAUCCCUGGGGAAGGGAUCCCAGCACGGAAGAGGCAUCCCCAUCCGAAGAACCACUUGAAAGUUGAGCAGUUGCUAAGAAACGACAGUACCUUCAUCACAAUGAAUACCUCGAGACGGAUGGAGUGGGCAACCAUUUCACAAGGCUGCCAUGAGGUAAAAAAAGAAAUGGGACCAGGCAUCAUUAGCAAAGAGGAGAUCAUUAGAUUCCUGCACUGCGGUCUGCAUGAACCUAGAGUGAAAAUGGAUGAGGACAGUCAUGUAGGAGAGAUAGCAGAGAGUGACUCUCUUAAGUGCUCUAUGAAGAAUAAGGAGGCUCUGGGUGCUUGUUAAGUGGAACGGCAGUGUCGAUGAAGGAGCCUGAGGACACAGCAGAUAAUGGCUUCUUUUCAAAGAGCUGAGCAGAGUACCAGAAGCUAUGGAAUUACUGGAAACACACACUGGAGUAAAGUAAAAAGACAGAGUAAAGAGAUAGGCCUAAAUGAUGAGAGGUACCAGGGUCAAGAGAAGUAGUUGUUUUCUUGAGCGACUGAAUUAUGUAAAAUGUUUCCAGGGUUGCAAAGAGAGUAGGAGGAAAGGCAUGAGAAAGGCUCAGGAAAGGGGGCUGUUAAGUCUAAACAACAUGAAUCAGGGAAAUCUAUGAUUGAAAGAUGGGAAAAGUAUACUGUCUGGAAAAGAGCUAGGAGGUGAAGACAACAUGGGUGUGUGGGAAUAAUAGUGAUGUCAGAGGAACAGGGAGGAAGGGCAGAGAAGGAAUAGCAAGACUAUCCUUGAUAAGCUGCCCUAAGUCUCCUGGUAGAUAUGAAGGAUGGAUUCACACUGUUGUUCCUGAAAGUAUAACCCAAACAAUUGAGAAUCAGAGACUUGCUAAAGCAUCCUGAAGAAGAUCCUGAACUAAUGGAUUUUGUUUAGGUUUGGGUUUGGUUUUUAAUGCAGAUGGUGUUGGACAGAAAUGGAGAUUAACUCAGCACUGCAGGUAUUGCCAUAAUGGACAGAGAGAUUAAAGGAGAGAGCCAGUCAAACUGCAGAUGAGCACUAAUAGGCAUAUGAGGAAAAUGCUUGAAGGGAAUCAAAGGUUUAGUGUAAUUCUGAAAUUAAGAGACAACAGGGAUUGGUGCAAAUUAAGCAAGGCAGUACUGGGUAGGGCAAGAAAAGUUGAUCUAUUUAGGACUGAGUCCCAGAGAUCAGGAAACUGCGGCUGAGAAACUGCAUGCCAAUAGUUAAGAAGGAAGGAGAAGAAAGAGGAAGGGGCAGCAGGAAGAAAGUCAUCACAGUUGGAACAAUAUGCUAAAAACUAAGAAGUCUAAAAGAUCAUGGAAGGUGACCAGGUCAAAGUCCCUGCUACCCUCUGAGAAAUUUUCAUUGGAAAAUGCUGACCAACUUCAAGAAAGAAAGACUUUCAGCAAUGGCUGUGGCACAGACAAAAAAAAAAAAAGGAUUUACUCAUGGAGAGACAAACACACAGUGAGGCUGAGAUGCUGCUGAUUGUUCUUUGAUCUUGGCACUUUUCUUGUCUGCCAACUGAGUUCAAAGAUUUCACAAUUCCUACUGCAGACUGAUGAUGUUGUGUGGGAGAACACAGGAGACUUGCUGAGACUGCCAAAUUGCUAAACAUGUGUGAUGGUGGGCUCUCCCUUCCUCCAUGUG